UCCGGUUUGUCACCGGCAGUCUCAUUAGAGUGCUCAACUGAAUGUAGCAACUAAUGACAAGGGUUGCGCUCGUUGCGGGACUUAACCCAACAUCUCACGACACGAGCCGACGACAGCCAUGCAGCACCUGUGUGCAGGUUCUCUUUCGAGCACGAAUCCAUCUCUGGAAACUUCCUGCCAUGUCAAAGGUGGGGAUGACGUGGUACACCUGAAC
rnacentral:misc_RNA from 1 species